GACGAACGCUGGCGGCGUGCUUAACACAUGCAAGUCGAGCGGUAAGGCCCUUUCGGGGGUACACGAGCGGCGAACGGGUGAGUAACACGUGGGUGACCUGCCCUCAGCUCUGGGAUAAGCCUGGGAAACCGGGUCUAAUACCGGAUAUGACUCCAUGACGCAUGUUGUGGGGUGAAAGCCUUGUGCGGCUGAGGAUAGGCCCGCGGCCUAUCAGCUUGUUGGUGGGGUGAUGGGCCUACCAAGGCGACGACGGGUAGCCGGCCUGAGA
rnacentral:rRNA from 1 species